AGAGAAUUCGGUUAAAGUAAGCCCCUGGCCUUCAAAGCUAAAAAUGUAGGUGCAAGUCCUACUUCUCUG
rnacentral:tRNA from 2 species